rnacentral:lncRNA from 1 species
UUUUUUACAGCUGCCAUUUUUUCACUUUGCUCUCUUGCUGACUCGAACUCUUGGCCUCUUGGUGGAUGUGGAGGGACCUUCCACUAAACUAUUCCUACUUGUCACUAGCUAUCUAACUAUUUUAUCACGUGCAACGGGACUAUAUUGUUUAGCUUCGAUUUCGAUUGCUCAAUGCUCGAUUAACUCCUAGAUGGUGACCUUUUAUUUUCUGGCUGGUGGGGUGGUAAAAAAAC